CAAUGUCAAUGUUGCACACAACAAUACAAAAACGGAUAGUGUAAUAUUUACUUGAAUUCCGUUCCAUAGGUAAGACACGCUCUGGACGGAGGAUUGUUCGAGGUAUUGGAGACGUUGUUAUAUUUGUCUCAUAUGAGUGAAAGCACAGAAAGCUGACUGUGUUGAUGUAGUCGAUGUCGCCGUUGUAGUGGUCUGACAGCUGCCCAGUCCUGUAGUUUGGAUACUUCUUCGUUGUAGAUGGCGGUUUUGGGAGAAACAGGAUGACACCGUUGUAUAC